CCUAUGUUAAAUUCAAAUUGUUUAGCAAAACAGCCGGUUGUCCAGCAUAUCAUUGAUAACUUACAGCUAUCAGCUCUUGAAUAUCGUAAUGAAAGGGAUCCUGAUGUCAUUCCAUAUGUUCAUGACAUAAAGAUUGAACUAAUCGAGGUUGCAUUGGGGAAAGAAGCUGUUGAUCUUAACAAACGGCUAUUGGAAGUGAUACGUCCAUAUGUGGCAAGGCUUUCUACACUUGGACUUCUCCAGAAUAGAGACUAUCAAAUAUUAAGCCCACCUGAUUUACUCAACUCGAGAUAAAUUUCACCAAGCACCUCCUAUGGACCUUCCCCAGAACAGAUAUGGAGAAAUUAAAGCUUGUUUUGGAGGUCUUAUUACUCUUUACCACAUCCGUAAGCUCCUUUCAAGUCAUGGAAUAAGGCCAACAUAUGAGAUGCUGGAAGAAAAGUUGAAACAAUGGUUACCAAGAAGAGAUGCCCUGUAUGAUGAUUUGACAAUGGCAAUGGCAUUUGUUUUGAUCAUCUGAACUUCACCAAACGGUGCUUAGGCUGAUGGGUGAAAUUUUUUAAUGUCAUUUGCAAGACUGAUGAGCAAAAAUGAAGAUAUUAGGAAAAUAAAGCCUUCAACGCAACAAAGCCUGUCUCAUGGUGCACCGAGUCCCAAAUUGUCAAAAAUGUUGGAAGUACUUGUUGACCAUUUCAGUGAGUGGCAUCCUCUUUCUUGAACAUAAAAAAAACUGCAGUUUUGAUUUGCAUGCCAGUCUUUUCACUCCACCGUUACACUUCUGCAUUACUAUGUUGAACUUCACAUAUUAUUUAGAAACUUCAUCUGUCAGCUAUUAAGAUUCACAAGAGGAGGGGUCCCUGAUCAAGCUGGAAAACCUGUGCUUUUAGGUUGUAUUUUGUGGGAAAAAGGAACUUUAGGUGUUACGGAUAAAAUUUGGGUCUCAAGGAAUUAAACUAUGUUGCUGUUUGAUAGAA